rnacentral:rRNA from 1 species
CGCCUGGGGAGUGCGGUCGCAAGGCUAAAACUCAAAGGAAUUGACGGGGGCCCGCACAAGCGGUGGAGUAUGUGGUUUAAUCCGAAGCAACGCGCAGAACCUUACCUGGCCUUGACAUCCCGGGACAAUCUCAGAGAUGAGACUUUCUCUUCGGAGACUCGGUGACAGAUGCUGCAUGGCUGUCGUCAGCUCGUGUUGUGAAAUGUUCGGUUAAGUCCGGCAACGAGCGCAACCCCUAUCCUUAGUUACCAGCAUUAAUUGGGGACUCUAGGGAGACUGCCGGUGUCAAACCGGAGGAAGGCGGGGAUGACGUCAAGUCCUCAUGGCUCUUACGGCCAGGGCUACACACGUACUACAAUGGCAGAAACAAACAGUUGCGAAACCGCGAGGUCAAGCUAACCUGAAAAACCUGUCUCAGUCCGGAUUGGAGUCUGCAACUCGACUCCAUGAAGUUGGAAUCGCUAGUAAUCGAAGAUCAGACGCUCCGGUGAAUACGUUCCCGGGCCUUGAACACACCGCCCGUC